rnacentral:rRNA from 1 species
GACGAACGCUGGCGGCGUGCCUAAUACAUGCAAGUCGAGCGAAGUUUUUCUGGUGCUUGCACUAGAAAAACUUAGCGGCGAACGGGUGAGUAACACGUAAAGAACCUGCCUCAUAGACUGGGACAACUAUUGGAAACGAUAGCUAAUACCGGAUAACAGUAUUUCUCGCAUGAGAGAUAUUUAAAAGUUGGUUAUGCUAACACUAUGAGAUGGCUUUGCGGUGCAUUAGCUAGUUGGUGGGGUAAAGGCCCACCAAGGCGACGAUGCAUAGCCGACCUGAGAGGGUGAUCGGCCACACUGGGACUGAGACACGGCCCAGACUCCUACGGGAGGCAGCAGUAGGGAAUCUUCCGCAGUGGGCGAAAGCCUGACGGAGCAACGCCGCGUGAGUGAAGAAGGAUUUCGGUUCGUAAAGCUCUGUUGUUAGGGAAGAAUGGAUAUGUAGUAACUAUACAUGUAAGAGACGGUACCUAACCAGAAAGCCACGGCUAACUACGUG